rnacentral:lncRNA from 1 species
CUUUUUUUUUCUUCCUUCUCCCUUCUCUCUCUACCAAAGUAGUGGUAGUAUUUAUAGGAGAGAAUGGGGUAUUUUUUUUUCUCAUCCACCAAUGUGGGAGAAAAGUAUUUAUAGGAAAGGAUAAAGAUUUAUUUCUUGUCAUCUACCAAUGUGGGAGAAAAAUCAAUUAGGGGGGUUUUUGGAAUGUAAAAAUUAAAGAUAAGGUAUGGUGGAAGAUAAUGUGGGGGGAAAUAGUACAAUGUAGUACAAUC